GGCUUGAUGGUCUAGCGGUAUGAUUCCUUCUUAGGGUGGAGGAGGUCCCGGGUUCGAUUCCCGGUCAAGCCC
rnacentral:tRNA from 1 species